UACGUAGGGGGCAAGCGUUAUCCGGAAUUACUGGGCGUAAAGGGUGUCUAGGCGGCAAGGCAGGUCUUGCGUGAAAGCUCCCGGCUCAACUGGGAGAGCGCGCAGGAAACCUCCUGGCUAGAGACUCGGAGGGGGGUGUGGAAUUCCCGGUGGAGUGGUGAAAUGCGUUGAGAUCGGGAGGAACACCAGUAGCGAAGGCGGCACCCUGGCCGAGUUCUGACGCUGAAGCACGACAGCGUGGGGAGCAAACGGG
rnacentral:rRNA from 1 species